rnacentral:rRNA from 1 species
UGCCAGACUCCUACGGGAGGCAGCAGUGGGGAAUAUUGCACAAUGGGGGAAACCCUGAUGCAGCGACGCCGCGUGAGUGAAGAAGUAUUUCGGUAUGUAAAGCUCUAUCAGCAGGGAAGAAAAUGACGGUACCUGACUAAGAAGCCCCGGCUAACUACGUGCCAGCAGCCGCGGUAAUACGUAGGGGGCAAGCGUUAUCCGGAUUUACUGGGUGUAAAGGGAGCGUAGACGGCAUGGCAAGUCAGAUGUGAAAGCCCGGGGAUCAACCCCGGGACUGCAUUUGAAACUGUCAGGCUGGAGUGCAGGAGAGGUAAGUGGAAUUCCUAGUGUAGCGGUGUAAUGCGUAGAUAUUAGGAGGAACACCAGUGGCGAAGGCGGCUUACUGGACUGUAACUGACGUUGAGGCUCGAAAGCGUGGGGAGCAAACAGGAUUAGAUACCCUCGUA